rnacentral:rRNA from 1 species
AAUCUUGCGCAAUGGGCGAAAGCCUGACGCAGCAAUGCCGUGUGAAGGAUGAUGGUCUUAGGUUUGAAAAAUACUUUCAUCGGGGACGAUAAUGACGGUACACGGAGAAGAAGCCCCGGCUAACUUCGUGCCAGCAGCCGCGGUAAUACGAAGGGGGCUAGCGUUGCUCGGAAUUACUGGGCGUAAAGGGCGCGUAGGCGGACAUUUAAGUCAGGGGUGAAAUCCCAGAGCUCAACUCUGGAACUGCCUUUGAUACUGGGUGUCUUGAGUAUGAGAGAGGUAUGUGGAACUCCGAGUGUAGAGGUGAAAUUCGUAGAUAUUCGGAAGAACACCAGUGGCGAAGGCGACAUACUGGCUCAUUACUGACGCUGAGGCGCGAAAGCGUGGGGAGCAAACA